ACUACAUGAAGCUGGAAUCGCUAGUAAUCGCGGAUCAGAAUGCCGCGGUGAAUACGUUCCCGGGUCUUGUACGCACCGCCCGUCACACCAUGGGAGUCGGAAAUGCCCGAAGUCUGUGACCCAACCAUUAAGGAGGGAGCAGCCGAAGGCAGGUCGGAUGACUGGGGUGAAGUCGUAACAAGGUACC
rnacentral:rRNA from 1 species